UUUGCAAAUGUGAAAAGGAAGAAUGAAGAUGUAAGGUUACGCCAUUUUUCCCCUAAACGGAGCACGAAGAAGAAGAGGAAGAGAAAGUGAGAGAGAAUGGCGAAGCGUUUUGGGACAAUCGGAGUUCUUCAGGAGGAGGAGCAAGUGGAGGAAGCAUCUAAGGCUCAGCAAUCAGCUCUGUCAUGCCCUUCUCGGUCUUAGCCUCAGAGUCGACGAGCUGGUCUACAACAAACUCCUCCUUCCUCUUCUUCUUCUGCUUCUUCUUCUUCUCACCACUCUUCCCAUUCCUCUGCUUCUCACUGACUCACUGAGACAACUAAAACAAUAACCUCAUCAGGAUGAUGGAUCUGUUAUAUGUAUAUUUUCUCUUUCUGGAAGUAAUGCCCAAGAUGGACAUUUAGCUGCUGGUCGUAAUGGUGUAAAGCGCCUCAGAACUAUAAGUUCUCAUUUGUUUUACUCUUUGAUGUGUGGUUUGGCUAGGAAUAUAGAUUGAAGAAAAUGGAGAGGAAAGUGAAGUAAUAGAACUCGACUACAAAAACUAUUGUCAAAUAUUUGUUAAGGCUGUUGAGUGUUUGCACUGAUGCCUUUUAAUGUUUUCUCCAAAAUAGUUUUGUCCUACAAACAAUUGGAAUUAUGAAGCUGUUGUUAAUUAGAUUUUCUAUAUCUAUUCUUCAAGUUUUUGAGUCCACUUUCAGCUGUUCCUUUGGUAGCUUUAGUUGGAUUUGGGCUCUACGAGUUAAGUUUUCCUGGGGUAGUGUUAUUCUGCAGCAUUAAUCAUGGUUUACGAAGUGAAUUGUUUAGUGAUAUUGUUUUCAGUGCCUUUCUUUGAGUUCUAUGAAUGAGUUUUUCGAUUUAAAGUAUUUGCAUUCGUACCGCUUCAUAACACUUAAUAUCCAAUGUGAAUGCAUUUUGAUUUUCCUUUAUUUUUUUGUAUCAGCAUGCAUUUUUCUUUCUAUUUUUAUUUAUAUUAUUAUUAUUACUUUAAUAUCUUUUAUUCAAGUAAAUUAUUCUUGUGUCAAAGAGAUACUUCACAAAUAUUGUUCUCCAUUUUCUUUGUUGAUAUUUUUUGUAUUUAUCCCCUUCUAAUUUAGUCAUUUCUCAUACAUGUUUAUUGAUUUAAACAGUCCAUUGGGGCUUUCAUUUAUUGAUUUAACUCAAACUCCAGUUAUGAUGUUGUGGAAUCAUUUCCCUCUGCACUUCAUGUUAAAAGAUGCAAUGAUAGGUUAACGUAUGAUAAUAAUAGAAAACUAUGGGAGCUAUGCAAGGAAGACAUUUUAUAUGAGUUCCUCAGUUUGGCUGCGAAUCAAUUAUGCUUUUUGGAAGUUAGCCACCGCUAUAUUAUCUAUUGUAUUGUCAAAUACACACACAUUAAGGGGAAAAAAGCCAAGAAAAUAUAUUAGAAAACAGGCAAAAUCACAAUGAAUGUAAAAUAAGGUGUUCAUAUGAAAAAACGAGUAAACCAAUUGAAAUUGUAUAAAUAGAUAUCAACAUUUACAUGCACUUCAAAAUUUAGAUGUUGCUUUUCCUCAUUUCAUCAUUAGCCAGACUAAAAAAUUUAGAUGUUCUGAAUUUUGGAGGUCCAUUUCGUUCCUAUAUUGGUCAAAGUAGUGCAAUAGUAUUAUUACCUAUAUUCUUCUUGUUCAGUUCAUAUUUGCUGACCUUCAAAUUAAGGUCAACAUUGAGUUCCUUUCAUUGUUGUAUAUUUGUACAUUCUACACACAGGGAGUUGGCAUUUUGAUCUCUGACUUGGUUGGAACUAUUAAUGGAUCCUCAUUAUCUGUAUAACAAUGUUCAAAUUAAUAUCUAUGCUUUAGCUUUCUACUUUAUUUUACCGAAAUACAGAAUUUCCACCUUUAUCUAAGAACCUUUUUUUCUCCUGUGCACUUAAUAACUAGUUUUUAGGAUUUUAAAAAUUAAGCAAUUUAUUUGUCACAUGUUCUGAAACAUUGUUAAUUUUUAAGAAAUGCUCAAUCCUCCCUGCUAUUUGUUAUGUGGGAUGAACUUUUUUCUCUUUAGGGUGAAAGGAACUGGUGGAAGAUUAUUCACUCAAUUGUAUUUGUG